rnacentral:pre_miRNA from 1 species
CUGUUACUCCCUCCGUUCGAAAUUACUCGUCCAAGAAAUGAAUGUAUCUAGAUGCAUUUUAGUUGUAGAUACAUCCAUUUUUGUGACAAGUAACUCCGAACGGAGGGAGUACAUA